UGGGGAAUAUUGCGCAAUGGACGAAAGUCUGACGCAGCGACGCCGCGUGAGGGAUGAAGGUCUUCGGAUCGUAAACCUCUGUCAGAGGGGAAGAAACUACGGGGUGCUAAUCAGCUCCGUACUGACGGUACCCUCAAAGGAAGCACCGGCUAACUCCGUGCCAGCAGCCGCGGUAAUACGGAGGGUGCGAGCGUUAAUCGGAAUCACUGGGCGUAAAGCGCACGCAGGCGGCGUGACGCGUCAGAAAUGAAAUCCCCGGGCUCAACCUGGGAACUGCUUUUGAAACGGUCAUGCUUGAAUCAUGGAGAGGGUAGCGGAAUUCCGAGUGUAGAGGUGAAAUUCGUAGAUAUUAGGAGGAACACCAGUGGCGAAGGCGGCCUGCUGGGCUUUUACUGACGCUGAGGCUCGAAAGUGUGGGUAGCAAACA
rnacentral:rRNA from 1 species